rnacentral:misc_RNA from 1 species
UUGAUUGAUUCAAAUAUUUACUCAGACGCAAAGAUGCAGAGUUGAGUGGACCGCCGGGGGCCCCGCGCCCGAAGGCCGGGUCGCCCCCGAGGCAACAGAGUCGGAAUACAAAGGGUUGGAGGUCGGGCCCGGAGGCCCUUCACUCGGUAAUGAUCCCUCCGCAGGUUCACCUACGGAGA